AUUGAACGCUGGCGGCAUGCCUUACACAUGCAAGUCGAACGGCAGCACGGGUGCUUGCACCUGGUGGCGAGUGGCGAACGGGUGAGUAAUAUAUCGGAACGUACCUUAUCGUGGGGGAUAACGCAGCGAAAGCUGCGCUAAUACCGCAUACGCCCUGAGGGGGAAAGCGGGGGACCGUAAGGCCUCGCGCGAUUAGAGCGGCCGAUAUCUGAUUAGCUUGUUGGUGGGGUAAAAGCCCACCAAGGCGACGAUCAGUAGCUGGUCUGAGAGGACGAUCAGCCACACUGGAACUGAGACACGGUCCAGACUCCUACGGGAGGCAGCAGUGGGGAAUUUUGGACAAUGGACGCAAGUCUGAUCCAGCCAUUCCGCGUGCAGGAUGAAGGCCCUCGGGUUGUAAACUGCUUUUGUACGGAACGAAAAGGUUUCUAUUAAUACUAGGAGCUCAUGACGGUACCGUAAGAGUAAGC
rnacentral:rRNA from 1 species